CUCCUCGGCUAACUCAAGUACACAACACAAUCCCCCUCACUCUAGCUGUCGUCGUCCUCACCGCCGUCUCCGUCUCUGUCGCCACCGCCACCUCCACCAUAGGCACACAUAUUCUCAGGUGUACGCCUACUCUAUUUCUCUUCAUUUCUAACUCUUCUCAUUUCAACUCCCCAUCCUUAAUAGAACAAUAAAGUUCAACAAUGGCAGCAAAUCCCCCUCUUAGAAGGGUAGUUAACUUCCUUCAAAAACGAUUCUUCAAUACAACCCCAUCCCCAAAAUACCCUAAACAACCUUCAACUAUCCUUAAACCCAAGAUCAAAACUGAAAUUUCUAACUCAAUCUUACCCAAAUCAUCAUUUUCAAUUCAGUACUUGACGAAAUCAUGCGGGCUUUCGUUAGAUUCCGCAAUUUCAGCCUCAAACAAAGUAUCAUUAGAAGAGAACAACAAGAAACAAUUUGAUUCAGUUGUUUUAUUUUUGAAAUCAUACAAUUUCUCUGAUACCCACAUUGGUGAACUUGUUAAGAAACGCCCAUAUGUUCUUCUUUGUAAGACUUCGACUAAUCUAGAACCUAAGUUUCAAUUUCUUGCUGAAAGCGGGAUUAAGGGUUUGAAUCUUCCUAAGCUUAUUGUUUCUUCGCCUACGAUUUUGUUUCGGGGUUUAAAUUCACAGUUGAAGCCGGCAAUGACGAUAAUCAAGAGAUUAUUGCCUCGCCCUGAUAGGAUUGAGAUAGUUGUGCAGCGUGGACCUUGGGUACUUACUUCAGAUUGGAAAGUUAUGCAACAUAAUUUGGAUUAUUUGAUUAAACAAGGGGUGUUCGAGAGUCGUAUCAAAGAGUUGAUUGUUUUACAUCCUAGGUGUUUGUACCAAGAUACUUCGAGGAUAAGAUAUGUUGUUAAAAUGAUAACAGAAAUGGGAGUUAUGCCUUGUGAUCUCAAGUUUAUACACGCCCUUCGAGUCAUGUUAUCACUGAGCAAGUCGAGUUGGGAGAGGAAGGUGAAGUUCUUUGAGAGUUUGGGGUGGACUAAUGAUGAGGUUAUAUCGACAUUUACAAAAAGUCCAGCUUGUUUGUCUUGCUCAGAGGAGAAACUUAGGAAUGGUAUCGAUUACUUUGUUAAUACUGUGAAGAUUGAUAGACAGAUUAUUAUUAGUUACCCUAAGGUUUUGAUGUAUUCAGUUCAGAAAAGGGUUAUUCCAAGGUUCACUAUUUGGAAGAUUUUGGAAGAGAGGAAGUUGAUUAAGGGAAUGCAGUUCAUUUGGGUGCUUAAUAAAUCGGAGAAGGAAUUUAUUGAGCAGUAUGUUACCAAGUAUUCUAGUGAAAUACCUCAUCUUUUGCAGAUGUAUCUGAGUGGUAAGGACUCUAUUAGCGCUGUAAGAAGUUGAGGAAGAUUGGUUCUGACAACAAAUGGAAGAAUUAACAACCACUUCAUUUACCUAGUCUUCUGGCUGUUGUAAGUUUUUCAUCUCACAUUUUACUGUUCCUGGUGGUGGUCGAGGGGAUUAUUGUUCAAAAAUCAUUGCACAAGAAUAAUUGUUUGAUGCCUCUCAGAAUAAUUCAACUUCUAUUCGUAUAGAGAAGUAGGAAAUGUAACUUUUUGGAUGCGGUAAAUAUUCAGUGUCAUUUGGUUCUUAUUAAUAAUGGCAUCCUUCAGCACACUACUAGAUUGCCAAUUAUGAAAAAAUUGGCCUUCAAAGAAGUGAAGGCUUCUAAUUACUAUGUACUGUAAUGUAAAAAUAAUAUUUGGUUGAUAUGCUUAACGAAACCUUCUGCACUUUGCUAUAGAUGUGCCAGCGAAUUUUACCUUUGUUUCUAUCGGUCCUGGCUUUCUAUGCUUAUGUAACCUUAAAACAUAAAAAAGUUAACCCAAAGAUGCCACAGUCCCUGUCUUUCUUAAGCAUAUCUUGGAAACAGAACCUUAUUAACAAAUGCAGAUUGCAACACAAUUGAUGUUAAUCAUAUACGUAGUAUGUGCAUAUGUUGUAGACUUAGCACAGUGAAUUUUAUGCCUGACAUGUAGCUUUUUGCUAAAUUCAUGGAAGGGUGCUAGCAAUUGGAACAAAAAUGAAAGUUUCAUCUGCUUCCUUUUAACCUUUGAAAUUUGUGUAUAUUAUGAAACUUACCUUGAAAGCAGCUUUUGGUUGAAACUAACUAAAGAAACUGUGUCAUUUCUAUUUUCAUGCCAGACUGUCUGAUGUUAUUCAAAACAAGUUAUGGAAGGAUGAUGAGAAGAAGAGGAUCAGGGGCAUGUCGCUGUUGAAAGGAGUGUUAAUUGACCAUGACCAACUAAUUGACCUGUAGUAUCCCUUACCCGAACCAAACCGAACUAUACCCUAAAGAAGGUAACUCAAUUUUAUCCAAAUCUCCUCGCACUUGUCCCAAACAAACCAACUUUAAAAUUAAUUUGAAUAUUGAUUGAUUUUAUAUAGCCAGUCAAACAAACCCCAAGAAUAACACAAAUCAAACAUACAUAAGCCAAAAAUGAAACCAAACUGGAUGUUUAAUAAACAGGUAAACACAAUUUCACCCUUUGCUAAUUGAUCAGAAAUGUAACCCUAAUCUUAAUGAUCCAUUUGCUUGACUAUAUGCCAAGGUAUCUGAUAUGGGAACAUGAUGAUGUUGCCAUUGUCAUGUUUAGGGUUGUAAUUAGAGAUGGAUUAAAAGCUGUGAUUACUUUUAAGAAUGAACAAGACAAUUUGUGCAUAUGAGAAGGUCUAUCACUCAUUGUGAUGUUCCUAACAAAGAACGGAUGCAUGAUAAGUUGAAGGCUUCAUGUCAUAGCUAUUUAAAGGUAUGCUAGUGGACAAUAGUUGACGUGACUUCUCUGAUGCUGCUGUUAGUGAUAUAUGUAUGGGAUGCUAUGUUACUUCUUAGAGCAUUGUUGAAAAACAUUAUUAAAGACUGUAAAAAGGAAGCUAGUAGACAUUGGAAGAAGGGAGAGAACAGAAUUUGAGAAACAUAGGCAAAUCGUGGAAAUGGAAGACAAGAGAGACAAGUAAUUAUCUUCAGUAUAUAAAUCUUUUUAGCAUGUCUUUGAAUCUCGGUCUGUGUCAUUUUGUACUGGUGGAGCUUUCAAUCCUUUUCUUGUUUCUGAAUGAAGAAUGAAUAGUUGCCAAUUUUAUUUUUUAUUUUUUGUGGCUAACAUAAGUAUCAGAUCAUUGGAGUCUUCUGUUUUCCAAUUUUUUAGGAUGAAAGGUGAUGUAGCAGUGGAAACAGUGAUUUUAUGGAUGUUGAUUUAACGAUGAUACAAUUGACUCUGAGGAAAUGCUCGUUUUGAAAUAUUCUGAUGGGAGACCAUACCAAGCAAUAGUUUUCAGGCUGGGUAGUGAAAAUUGCGUACCUUGUUAUGUAGGUUCUGGCAUCUGGGAAGAUAAAUGAACGAUCUUCUAGCUCAAUGCAUUUAAUAAAUUAUUUAACUAGUGGGUCCAGAAAUAUAUGUAGAAAUGUCUGGUUUUGGUGCUGUACAGUGAUGUUUCAAUUACAGAGAAGCAAUGCGUGAAAAACAAUGGCGGGGGAGUGGUCUUUCCCAGGAAGCAAAGUUAACAAACUCAUUGGAGCAGGCACGCUAACUAUAAGGGGGAGCCUGGAAUAGGUUUUACAGAUUCCAAGCUGCUGCUUUGGAUCAUUUUUAGGAAGAAUAUGUGGUUCAGUUGACUAGAUCGAGGAAUUCUCCUGUGCUAUGUUUAUUGUGAGGCUGCUGUUGGCUUUCCAGUGACAGUGAUUCCACAUUUCUGCCUUUGUGACUUUGUUAUUCUUAUUUCUUCCAUUUGAUAUAGAGAUGUUGGUUGCCAAGGCCGGAGAUGGAUCAGGUAAGAUUGUUGAAUUCCAGUUAAUUCUGUUAAUGGAUUAGGUAAGAUUGUUGAAUUGCAGUUAAUUCUGUUAAUGGUUUUGUUUUAAAUCUACUAAUCCGUAUAUUAAAUUGCUGGAUUUGUUUAUAAUGAAUUGUUGUAUUAUGGGUAUUAUAAGUUGCUGCUCAUUGUUGAAUUGAUGACGACAGUAUAGUGGCUGAUUAUUUAUUGGA